rnacentral:rRNA from 1 species
CUACGGGAUGCAGCAGUGGGGAAUAUUGCACAAUGGGCGAAAGCCUGAUGCAGCAACGCCGCGUGAGGGACGACGGCCUUCGGGUUGUAAACCUCUUUUAGCAGGGAAGAAGCGAAAGUGACGGUACCUGCAGAAAAAGCACCGGCUAACUACGUGCCAGCAGCCGCGGUAAUACGUAGGGUGCAAGCGGUGUCCGGAAUUAUUGGGCGUAAAGAGCUCGUAGGCGGUUUGUCGCGUCUGCUGUGAAAAUCCGAGGCUCAACCUCGGACCUGCAGUGGGUACGGGCAAACUAGAGUGCGGUAGGGGAGAUUGGAAUUCCUGGUGUAGCGGUGGAAUGCGCAGAUAUCAGGAGGAACACCAAUGGCGAAGGCAGAUCUCUGGGCCGUAACUGACGCUGAGGAGCGAAAGCGUGGGGAGCGAACAGGAUUAGAUACCCCAGUAGUC